CGGCACGGGUGAGUAACACGUAUGCAACCUGGCCGUGACAGAUGGAUAACCGGGAGAAAUCCCGCCUAAUACAGCAUGACGCCGCGGGAGGACAUCCUCCCGCGGCCAAAGGGGCGACCCGGUCACGGAUGGGCAUGCGGCGCAUUAGGUAGUUGGUGGGGUAAAGGCUUACCAAGGCAAUGAUGCGUAGCCGAACUGAGAGGUUGAUCGGCCACAUUGGGACUGAGACACGGCCCAAACUCCUACGGGAGGCAGCAG
rnacentral:rRNA from 1 species